UACGUAGGGUGCAAGCGUUGUCCGGAAUUAUUGGGCGUAAAGAGCUCGUAGGCGGUCUGUCGCGUCUGCUGUGAAAACUCGGGGCUUAACCCCGGGCCUGCAGUGGGUACGGGCAGACUAGAGGUAUGCAGGGGAGAACGGAAUUCCUGGUGUAGCGGUGGAAUGCGCAGAUAUCAGGAGGAACACCGGUGGCGUAGGCGGUUCUCUGGGCAUUACCUGACGCUGAGGAGCGAAAGUGUGGGGAGCGAACAGG
rnacentral:rRNA from 1 species